AGCCUUUCGUAUUUGUUCCGAAAUUUUGUCAAUCACCAAUUCACGAGGGCUGGUGAGAAUUGUACGAUAGGUAAAGUA
rnacentral:pre_miRNA from 1 species